CCGGAGUCUCUGAAGUGCUCCUGGGAACCUUGGAAAAGCCGGGUCAGAGGAGAAGAGGAAGGAAAAAAGGGAGGACUGUGGCAUUCCUCUGUGGCUCUGAAGUGUGGCUUGCUCCUGGCUCCAGAAGCAGGCAUCCCAGACAUUGGGGAAGAAGGAGGAGAUGUUCUCUCAGGCCACCUCCCAGAGGAGACGUGGACUGUGCCUGCAGACCCUUCCAUUUCCUACCAAGUGUGGGACAGCCUAGUCAUGAGAAAAACACCAGACAAAUCGUGAUGGAGGACAUUCU